rnacentral:rRNA from 1 species
GAUGAACGCUAGCGGCAGGCUUAACACAUGCAAGUCGAGGGGUAGAAGUUGCUUGCAACUUUGAGACCGGCGCACGGAUGCGUAACGCGUAUGCAAUCUACCUUAUACAGAGGGAUAGCCCAGAGAAAUUUGGAUUAAUACCUCAUAGUAUAAUUGAAUGGCAUCAUUUAAUUAUUAAAGUUCCAACGGUAUAAGAUGAGCAUGCGUCCUAUUAGCUAGAUGGUAAGGUAACGGCUUACCAUGGCAACGAUAGGUAGGGGUCCUGAGAGGGAGAUCCCCCACACUGGUACUGAGACACGGACCAGACUCCUACGGGAGGCAGCAGUGAGGAAUAUUGGACAAUGGGCGCAAGCCUGAUCCAGCCAUGCCGCGUGCAGGAAGAAGCAUCUAUGGUGUGUAAACUGCUUUUGUACGGGAAGAAACACCCCUUCGUGAAGGGACUUGGCGGUACCGUAAGAAUAAGGAUCGGCUAACUCCGUGCCAGCCGCCGCCGUAACAC